rnacentral:rRNA from 1 species
ACGGGAGGCAGCAGUGGGGAAUAUUGGGCAAUGGGCGCAAGCCUGACCCAGCAACGCCGCGUGAAGGAAGAAGGCUUUCGGGUUGUAAACUUCUUUUGUGAGGGACGAGAAGAAGACGGUACCUCAUGAAUAAGCCACGGCUAACUACGUGCCAGCAGCCGCGGUAAUACGUAGGUGGCAAGCGUUGUCCGGAUUUACUGGGUGUAAAGGGUGCGUAGGCGGCAUGGCAAGUCAGUCGUUAAAGACCAGAGCUUAACUCUGGACCAGCGAUUGAAACUGUCAAGCUAGAGUACAGGAGAGGUUAGUGGAAUUACUAGUGUAGAGGUGGAAUUCGUAGAUAUUAGUAAGAACACCAAUGGCGAAGGCAGCUAACUGGCCUGAAACUGACGCUGAGGCACGAAAGUGUGGGGAGCAAACAGGAUUAGAUACCCUGGUA